rnacentral:lncRNA from 1 species
GCCUGUAUCCCUGCUCUAUUGAAAGUUUCCAGCACUUUCAUAAACGUCAUUAUGUAGGGUAGUAUAGAAAUAAUUAAUGUUCCGUAAGUACAUAAUCGUGAUUGUCGUAUGACUGAGGGAGGGUGACCAUCCUUUUAGAUUUUAAUUUCCCAAAUAUUUAGUGCAGUAUUAGAUAAAACUUUUUCACCCGUUUGCUCAACAUGUGUAGGAAUUUUCUAUGCAUACAUUUUUGUCACGUGGUGAUGGAAGUCACAUGACAGAUUCGUCUG